rnacentral:rRNA from 1 species
AUUGAACGCUGGCGGCAGGCCUAACACAUGCAAGUCGAACGAGUGGCGGACGGGUGAGUAAUGUCUGGGAAACUGCCCGAGGGAGGGGGAUAAAUACUGGAAACGGUAGCUAAUACCGCAUACCAUCGGAUGUGCCCAGAUGGGAUUAGCUAGUAGGUGGGGUAACGGCGAACCAAGGCGACGAUCCCUAGCUGGUUUGAGAGGAUGACCAGCCACACUGGAAUGGAGACACGGUCCAGAGUCCUACGGGAGGCAGCAGUGGGGAAUAUUGGACAAGGGGCGCAAGCCGGCUGCAGCCCUGCCGCGUGUAUAAAGAGGGCCUGCGGGUUGUAAAGUCCGUUCAGCGAGGAGGCGUUACUCGCAGAAGAAGCGCCGGCUAACUCCGUGCCAGCAGCCGCGGUAAUAC